ensembl:lncRNA
AAAAAAAAUAAUAAUCAUUGUAAGAUUUUAUCUAAAUACUAUUUUAUUUUAGUUUAGUUUAUUCCUCAAAUAACUCCAUGAUGCCACAGCUGUGAACCACAGUCUGAUAAGCUGAUGAUUUGACUGUAAAUUUACAUGUGCUAAAAUUAAUGUGAUAAUUUUUUUUAUAAGUACACUAGCACACAGACAUGGACUUAAAAGCCACAAUUUUUUGAUUUUAUGGGGACUUUAAGCACCUUAAGUCAUCGCCUAUCUAUGAAAGGAUGGUGAAAGGGAAACUAGAAUGUAAAGAUAAAAACCAAAAUGAUUUUUCAUAUUUAGCCUUACAUGUUAAGGUACAGUAACUACACCAGCACAGCCUAGAAACAAUGCUUUCAUCUUUUUAAACAGUAUUACACCAGCUUCGAAUACAAAGUGACUUUAAAACUCAUAAAAGAGAGAGGUUUAUGUGUUUUGUUAUUGAGACAGCAGGAUGGCACAUUUAGGUGUAAAAUUGUAUUAAACAAACUUUAAUAGGUUACUCUCCUGAAAACAAAGAUGAUUUAUGACUAUUUUCAGUCAAUCAUGAUAAUGCUCAAAGCGUUUGAGAUAUUGAGAGAAGAAACAACAGGCCAUGCACAUUCUACAUGACCGUAUCUUGUAAUCAUUUUCAUUACUUUUCAUAUUGCUUAUUGACUGUAAACCAGACCGUUUCUCAAGGUAAGAGCAAUUCGUCCGUUGCGUUUGUGAUGGUUUGAUCAUUUCAUGAGAUCUAAUUCCACAGCAUGAUGUCCUACAGAUGCUCCAUGUCUUUUUCUGACUGUAAUUUGAUGCCAUGUUUCUCAACCAUCUUUUCAUUAAAUGUAUUUAAAGCCAACCUGUGAUGUUUUUACUAAGAUGGUGUUGUCAACUGAGUUUUAGUGUCAUAAAAACUUCUGAAAUUAUAAUAUUUAAAAAGAAAAAAAAUACACACACACACACACACACACACACACACACACAUAUAUAUAUAUGUAUAUAUAAUAAAAAGGAUAUUUGACAAAUCACCCAAAAUUACUGAUAACAACCUGCAUAAAUAUUCAGUUUCUGCUUUUUUGAUGCAGUAAUAUUUUUAUGCUUGUUU